rnacentral:lncRNA from 1 species
AUGCUAGGUAAGACGAUGCUAGGUAAGAGGAAGAGCCCACAGAGAGAUCUGCUGUCAUUCUGGGCAGUGCCAGUGACAGCCCCCCCUUAUGCACCCCCGGAAAAUGAGAGUGCAGAGGGCACAGAAGAAAUGGAAGAUAAAGCGAGAUCAGAAGAGAUUGAGGACAGUGAGGGCGAAGAUUUUGAUUGUAUACAAAUUGAAAACACAGAGACAGAAGAGCCAGCAGAAAAAAAUGUGGAGAUAAGAAUAAAUUCAGGGAAGAAGCAGAAGGCCAAAAGUGGAGCAGCCAUCUACAGGUGCACUUUUAAAAGGGAGUGGACAGCAGAAUGGCCCUUCAUUAGUGUAGGCACAACCACCGCCUACUUUUGGUGCUCUGUUUGCCAACAUGAGAACAGCUGUGCCCAUCAAGGCAAGGCUGAUGUCGCAAGGCAUAUCAAAAGCAAAAUACAUCGUUCAAAAGAACAGGCAGCACAGUCAACAGACAGCAUUGCGCCAUAUUAUGGCCCAGCCACUGUUGGUGGCAUGACAUCUCAGGAAGUCAAGACAAGGAGAGCUGAGGUAAAGUUAGCAGUGUCGAUGGUGGAACACAAUGUGCCAUUUGCAGUAGCCGAUCACUUCAGCCCAUUGCUGAAAGAAUGCUUCAAAGAUUCCCCUACUGCACAGAGCUUCAAGGCUGCCCGCACAAAAAUGUCCUGCAUAAUAAAUGAAGCAGUGGCUCCUCACUUUAGAAAGGAACUGGUCAUGAAGAUGAGGACCAAUCCUUUCACGUUGAUCACAGAUGGAUCAAAUGAUACAGGACGUGAGAAGAUGAACCCGCUCACUGUGCGGGUAUAUGACAGUGAUCUCAGCAAAGUUGUCCACAGGUUCCUGGAUAUGUGCCCCACCAGCGGGCCAAACUGCGGCACAGCUGAAGUCGAGAAGAUGGAUGAGGCCAUGCAGAAAAACAGCAUACCAUGGAGAAACUGUGUCAGUCUGUCAGUUGAUAAUGCCCCUGUCAAUACAGGAGCAAGGAACUCCAUCGCAUCCAGAGCUCAUCAAGAACAUGGCAGUAUCUACAUCCAUGGGUGCCCUUGUCACAUCAUCCACAACACUGCCAAACAGGCUGGCCAGGCCUUUUUGGAGGUCGGUUGCUUAAGACCCUCUGUAUGCCUUAUGCCUAAUGUCACGUCAAACAGGUUGUUAUGCUGUGCGGUCAUGAACCAAUGACAACAAUGUCUUGUGACUAUAAAUAAUCAUGUAUUUUGCAGGUGUGUGGAUUUGAUCCAGAGGAUCUCGCUGUGGAUGUUGGAUAUUGGUUUAAAGGAAGCACCAAUCGCAAAGGUUACCUAACAGGUAUGUGUGUGCAGUCCCAAUGUCGUACAAAUUAAAUCUAUAAUACUCCGUGUUCGACGUCCCCGUUGGACCAGGGUCCACUCACCGUUGGUUAGGGGGUCGUUGGGAUGCAUGGUUCUCUUCGAGCAGUGCAGGAACUCGAACGAUAACGGAAUGAAGCUAAGCUAAACUGUAAGGUAAUAAGACAAGUGCGAUCCAGCCAAUAUCCGUAUUUAUUUUUAGGAAAUUAGGCUGCUGUAUGCUAGUACGACGUUUCGUCAAAUAAUUGACUUCAUCAGGUACAAAUUUAGUAGCAAUAGAAACAGACCCUAUGACAGAGAAUCCACGCAAGCCGAGGGAACAGAGCACAAAUGUGACAGCACAAAAACAAAUACUUUUAUAGACACACAACAGAGGGAGGGGAAAGUUGACAUCUGGGGUAGAGGCAUCCAAUGGGGGGCCGGUGCAUCACAACAAUUUUGAAAUUUGGGGUGGAGAGCCAAUGGGGGGUCAGGUGGAGAGCCAAUGGGGGGUCAGGAGGAUAAACAGCUUUGAGAUUUGAAUUGGGCCAAUAGGGAGGUUGAAUUUUCAAAUGUAAUUGUGCAAUAAUGCAACAAUGUAGCAUAAUUCUGUCACCAGCAGGUGGAGUGAGGAGGACCAUGGUGCCUGCACCUUCCGGAGCCGCCAGCAGUGGUCGCUGAUUGUCCCUAAACCGGGUGGUGUUGGACUGACAGCUCGCGACAGAAUUUAAUAAAAACAUAAUCAAAUGACCCCGUUGCAUUAAAUUAUAGCAGUGGAGGACAAAAACAAAUAACAGAAAAUAAUAAAAACAUAAAAGAUCGAACGUGCCCCGAACAAUAAAAUGUGUAAUAAUGUGACCGUAAAUACGGUUCAAACAUUAGAAGCAUCCUUAUUUGCAUUAUAUAUACAUUUUAAAUUACAUAUAUACAAUAGGGAAGAGGAAGCAGCAGGUGAGUAGGGGAUGGGAGAUGAAUGAGAGGGGACUGGGGGACACGGGAUGGUGGAGGACGAUAAAAAACGAAUAAAAUAAAUUAAAUUGAGGGCCUAGAUAAAGGGGGAAGACGCAGGAAGGGUCAAUGGGGAGCCGGGAGGGUAAAUUAAUAAAUUGGUGAAAGUAGGGGGGCCGAUCGUAAGGUUGAAUUAAAGCGCAAUAAAAACAUAGCGUGUAAACAAUGUUAUUUUUGUACGUUGUACUACCAUCAAACAUCCAGGAGAUGGAGCAUGGAGAACCGUGGUGUUAUAAUGAAUUUGGGUCACCAACAGGGGGUGCUAAGUGACUCCAAACCAUAUUAAUGUUGGAGAUCCAAGAUGGCGGCCUCCGUGGGCAGAAACGUAAACAAAACAUUAAACAAGAGCGGUAUUAGGGGUCACAAAAAUCCAAAUGUAUGACGAUAAAUAGUAAAAGUAGAACACGAGACGAACCAGCAGAGAACAAAACACAAAAAGCUACAAAUUGAGCCGAAAAACUUAAAAGAGUUUGGACCAAAAUGGCCGCAGAGUGUUUUCGUUCCCCGUGGUCAGCAGGUGUCGCCAAAUAGACCAAAACCAUGCGUUCCUAUUAAAACAGUGGGUCAAAUCAAUGUACUGUCGAGGUUUGAAGAGUACAUUAAAGCACUUUUAAGGAAUGAUGUGGUAACGUGAUCGCUUGAAUAAAUAAGAAUGGCAGGGAAGGGGGGGGGCACAGGACAUCAAUAGAAUAAUUACACAGGGUGCAUUUGGAAACCAUAUUAAAAGUAAUAUUGUUUGUAAAUAGGAAUGUAUGAAAAAUAAAAAAUAGGGGGGCUGGGGCAGGGGGGCAGAAUAAACACAAACACGUGGUAAGAAAAAUGAGAAAGGGGGAUCCUUUGUGGGGGGCCGGGGGCUGGGGUGGAGGUCAUGUAAGGGGGCCUUUGGGGGGUAGGGAAGGGAGAGGUUGGGGUUAGGGUCAGGGGUGGGAGAGGUUAGGUUUAGGGCCAGGGGGCGGGGUCAGGGUAAGGGCUAGGUAAGGGAGGGGGUUGGGGUUAGGGUCAGGGGUGGGAAGGGUUAGGUUUAGGACCGGGAGAGGGUCGGGGUUAGGGUUAGGGUCAGGUGAGGGAGAGGGUUAGGGUUAGGACAGUCAGUAAUUAACGACGCCACGGUGGCGUCGCUGGCACGGCCCAUCAUCAGGCGGCUCCCCAGGGGUCCCCGACCCACCCCAACGUUCAAACCAAGGGGUUGCAUGGUCCCCAGCCUGUCAAUCCAAAUCCUCUCCGACCUGCGCCGUUGGGCGGCAGACCAGAAGGGGUUGGCUUCUAGCACGUCGUUUCUCUCCGCGUCGGCCAAGGCUAACCCAUGCGGGGGUGUCGAGCCGGAGGGCGGUGGAGGAGGAGGAGGAGGGGGAGGAAGAGGAGAAGAGGAAGGUCCGGGUGCGGGCAUGGCUGCGACUCGUCGGCGGAGGUGGCUGGACGCGAGCCUGGUCCUUUGAGCCAACGGUGUGGUGCUCUGGAGAAGUCCCGGGGCUGCAGGCCGUGGAGGAGAGGGGGUAAGGGGAACGGGAGAGGAAGAGGAGGCGGGGGGGAUGGGGGGGCACAGGGGCGGAGAAGAAGGAGAGGAGGAGAAGGCCAGCGAAAAGGUAGGCGACGGCAGCCUGGCCGGGGAGCGCCGUCAAGGGCCUCCGGACCGGGUCCAGGGGACCGGAGGCCGGGGGCAGGAGGCGGUAGUCCAGCAGGUAGGGUGAAGCGUGGCAGCACGGCUCCAGGGGCGGGUUGCGGGAACAGCUGGACCAGAGGGACCGGAACGUCCAGAACCUCUCUGAGGCGAGAGCGCAGCGCGCUCACCGUCUCCGGGCGCAGGCGUUGGCCGAAGUGGCGUUGAGCCCAGGCCAGGGCCACGGUGAAGUUCGGGCGCCAGAUGGGGUCUGGAAGGAGGAGGAGAGCCCCCACCUUCUCGUCCACCGCAGCCUUGUAGUGGUCCCGGAGCAGCAGCAUGCUGGUGUACCGCCAGUUGCGCGCGUCACCGUCAAUCAGCUGCGCGGUCGCGGCGUUGGGGACAGCAGGGCGAAUGGAGACCCUCAGGGACUCAGCUAGCCUGGCGACGACGGGAAGGGGCUCCGGGCCCUCGGCGUUGGCGAGGUGGUGAGAGGCCUUCAGGGCCGCCAGGAGUCCGGGUCGUCAGAGAGCUGAGCAGCCGGGGCACGCGGCGUCUCCCUGGGUGGGGUCGGACGCUCAGACCCAGUGCGCGCCGCGGUGGUGACGGAGGUCGGGGCCGGUCGCGGGGUCGUGGGUCGGGACGCGGAGGGGGAGGUCUCACCUGCGGGGUCCGGCGGGGGGACUCGGAGCUCGGGCGGGAUGGCGAGGAGCCCGACGCGUCUCAGGAGCGCGGCGAUGGAGAGGCUCCUGCGCCUCACGGCGAGGAGGCGAGUAGGCCGGUCUGUGAGGAGGUGGGUAGGCCGGUCGGCGUGGAGGCGAGUAGGCCGGUCCGUGGGCCUCGGACCAACCCUCGUGGUGGUCACGGGUAGGCCCGUAGGGAGACCAGACCCUGACGGGCCUCGCGUGUUGCUCCCAACGUCUGGGAGACGGGUGGCGUGGGGCCCAGAGACGUUCGUGUCCGUGGUCGAAGUGAUGGAAGCGGGCCUCCGGAGCAGGUGCAGCCCACGCGGAGAAAUCCAUCAGCGUCGGGGGGUAGUGGGGGUCCCGAGGAGUCCGCCUGCGACGUCCCUGUUGGACCAGGGUCCACUCACCGUCAUCUUGAAGGUGGUUCGGUUGCAUGUUUCUUUUCGAAUAGUUCGAAUUCGAAUUAAAACAGAAAGUAUCUAAGCUAUACUGAAAUAAACUAAACUGAACUGUAAGGUAAUGAGACAAGUGCUAUCCAGCCAAUAUCCGAUUUAUUUGGAAAUUAGGCUGCUGUGGGCAUAGUACUAUGUUUCGUCAAUACAAUGACUUCAUCGGGUACAAAUAGAUAGCAUAGAAACAGACCGUAUAAUGGAGAAUCCAGACAAGCCGUGGUUACAGAGCACAAAUGAGAGACAACGAAAACAAAUACUUUUAUACAGACAUGUAGGAGGGAGGGGGGACUUGAGGUCUGGGGCAGAGACAUCCAAUAGGGGGCCAGGGCAUCAAAACUAUUUCAAAUUUAAACAUGAAAAGCCAAUGGGGGGGUCAGGUGAAGAGCCAAUGAGAGGUCAGGAGGGUAAACAACUUUAAAGUUUGAAUUUGGGCCAAUCAGGGGGUCGAAUUUCAAAAGUAAUGCUGAAGGAAUGCAACAUUAUAUCACUUUUGCUGUGUUUCUCCAGGUCACCAGCAGGUGGAGCCCGGAGGAUCGUGGUGUCUGCACCAACCGGAGCCGCCAGCAGGGGCUGCUAAGUCGCCUUAAACCGGGUGGUGUUAAGGAAGCAGAGAUGACGGCCGUAAUAGAAAUAAUUAAAAACACAAUAAAAUAAUACCGUUGUAUCGAAUUAUUGUAGUGUGGGGGUCAAGGUGAUACAAUCCAAGGGUAAAAAAUAUACAAAAACAUAAAAGGCAAACUGUACAU